rnacentral:rRNA from 1 species
AUGGAGCUGCAGCCGCCGGAGGGGCCGACGCGUCGGAUGCGACCGCCCCGGCCGCCCCCGCCGAGGACCUCAAGAUCUGGGAUGCGCGUCGGAUGCGCUUCCCCAACCACGACAACGAUGACGCCAAUGGCUUCUGAUGUGUUGUGCUUAUGUAUUAUGCUUGCAGCUGCCGACCUCUUCCUGGGCUUCGCAACCAACUUCCAGCAGGUCUACGCGCCGGCGCAGUGCGACGUUUACUGCAGCAACUGCGUCACCCAGGCCGUGCAGCACAUCGCGGUCGAGUGCGGCGGCGCCCCCUCCGGCCAGGUCUACCUCGACAAGUGCUACAUUACCUACAGCUACUACCCCCACUAUUUCAUGAAUGGUUCAUUACAGUAG